UCGGCUUGAGCUGGACAACAGGGCUCCUGUGAAAUGGAGAGGACUGGCCCAGGAACCUGAGCGAGCCUGGAUCUUAGGGGAUGAAACCAUUUCUGGAACAGCGCUACCUCACUGACAAGAGUUAGUUUCCAGGCAAGGCCCUUGCUCUACUCCACCUUCGUUCCUUGCCCAGCUCCCCUGCCAUGCCGACUGCCUGCGGACAGGAGCUGUUUUAUUUACUGCGGAACCUCCAGCACCCCGAACAGAGCCAGGCACAGAGAUUGUGCCCAGUAAUUACUUCUGGAAUGAAUGCAUGGAUUUCGUCCUGAGAAAAGUGGCUCUGAGCAUCCUCCUUCGCUCCACUGGGAAAAUGAGGCUGGGGCAGGGCAGGGACCUCAGGGGAGGGCUCUGGCUUAGGCUCAGGCUCCCCUGGUUCAGCCCACCAGGCAGUGGAGUGGCAUGCAGCCAGGGUUUUUGUGUGACCUUGGGCUAUUUUUACCUGUCUGAGCUUUGACUUCCCUGACUUAACAUGCGUGACACAAGUUUCUGCCACCUGUUUUAAGGACUCAAUGAGACAAUAUGUGUAUAUGGCCCAGUGUAUCCUUGUCAAGCACCGCGAACCCAUAUUCUAGCUUUGAGGUGAACAGCCCCAAGUUCACUGUGUUCUGCUCUAUAAAAAUGACGUAUUCCACCUAAAA